rnacentral:rRNA from 1 species
ACUCAAAGGAAUUGACGGGGGCCCGCACAAGCGGUGGAGCAUGUGGUUUAAUUCGACGCAACGCGCAGAACCUUACCCGGGCUAGAAAAACUAGGAACUUGGUGGAAACACCGGGGUGCUCGCAAGAGAACCUAGGUCCAGGUGCUGCAUGGCUGUCGUCAGCUCGUGUCGUGAGAUGUUGGGUUAAGUCCCGCAACGAGCGCAACCCUUGUCCUUAGUUGCCAUCAGUUCGGCUGGGCACUCUAAGGAGACUGCCGGGGUCAACCCGGAGGAAGGUGGGGAUGACGUCAAGUCCUCAUGGCCCUUAUGUCCGGGGCUACACACGUGCUACAAUGGCCGGUACAAAGCGCUGCAAACCCGCGAGGGGGAGCUAAUCGCAAAAAGCCGGCCUCAGUACGGAUUGCAGUCUGCAACUCGACUGCAUGAAGCCGGAAUCGCUAGUAAUCCCUGAUCAGCAGGCAGGGGUGAAUACGUUCCCGGGCCUUGUACACACCGCCCGU